GAAGCUGACCAGACAGUCGCCGCUUCGUCGUCGUCCUUUCGGGGAGACGGGCGGAGGGGAGGAAAGUCCGGGCUCCAUAGGGCAGGGUGCCAGGUAACGCCUGGGGGGGAAACCCACGACCAGUGCAACAGAGAGCAAACCGCCGAUGGCUCACGUAAGUGGGAUCAGGUAAGGGUGAAAGGGUGCGGUAAGAGCGCACCGCGCGGCUGGUAACAGUCCGUGGCACGGUAAACUCCACCCGGAGCAAGGCCAAAUAGGGGUUCAUAAGGUACGGCCCGUACUGAACCCGGGUAGGCUGCUUGAGCCAGUGAGCGAUUGCUGGCCUAGAUGAAUGACUGUCCACGACAGAACCCGGCUUAUCGGUCAGUUUCACUU
rnacentral:RNase_P_RNA from 1 species